CCCCAACCAGAACCAGCAAUGUUCCUCCUCUGCUGCAUAAGCCUGCAGGCCGUACUGGUUUCAGGUUCCUCUCUGAGCGAGAAAAUCGUCCAAGUUCCCGACCGCGCUUUCAGAGGCCGUGGCGACACACUCGCCAUCAGCUGUUCCCACAGCAUUCAGCGCUACGAUCAAAUCCUCUGGUACAGACGGACGGACGACCGCGAGCUGCAGCUGCUGGGAUACACAUACGGAACCGCUUCAUUCCCAGAGAAGGAGCUGAACGUGACAAUAGACGGGGACGCCAACAAAGACAAAACGUGCACCAUAACCAUUACAGGACUCAGCCCAGGCAGCAGCGCGGUUUACUUCUGUGCCGCCCGCUACCACAGUGCUGCACAUCUCUGCUCCUCAGUGCAUAAGCCUCCUCACACUCCCACGCAGCUGUUUUACCUCCUUUGAUGAGGCGAGGCCACACGUCAUGACUAAUGUGAUAAUAUUCAGGUCUGGUCUA